GGGGGCGUACCGGUUUUCGACGGGGGCGCCGAACCUUGAUAAGCGAGUAGUGUCGGGCAAUCACUUAAAAGGCCUAAACUUAAAAUUAAACGCUAAUAGAACAGAAUUAGCAGCUGCCUAACACGGCAGCCGUCCUCUCUUUGAGUACCGCGGCAAAGAACAGGGCGUCGACUCAGCGGUGAAUGGCAAGGGAGGAUAUCGGGACUCCACUGCGGCUUAAUCCCGUUUAUAGCGCAUGAGGAUCUGUUUGUCGUUCCUCCCGCGCCGAAUCCGAACGAUAAACUACACUCGUAGAAAGUCUCGGGAACGCGUUUUCGGACGGGAGUUCAACUCUCCCCGCCUCCACCA
rnacentral:tmRNA from 1 species